UACGAAGGUCCCAAGCGUUAUCCGGAUUUAUUGGGUUUAAAGGGUGCGUAGGCGGGCUAUUAAGUCAGUGGGGAAAGCCCCAAGCUUAACUUGGGAACUGCCAUUGAUACUGAUGGUCUUGAGUACAUUUGAGGUGGGCGGAAUGUGUCAUGUAGCGGUGAAAUGCUUAGAUAUGACACAGAACACCGAUUGCGAAGGCAGCUCACUAAACUGUAACUGACGCUGAGGCACGAAAGCGUGGGGAGCAAACAGG
rnacentral:rRNA from 1 species